GGCGAACGCUGGCGGCGUACUUAACACAUGCAAGUCGAACGGGGAUCGACACGUGAGCAAUCACGUGGCGGUCUUAGUGGCGUACGGGUGAGUAACACGUGGGCAACCUGCCCUUGAGUCUGGGAUAACCUCCCGAAAGGGAGGCUAAUACCGGAUACGGUCCUCGGGUCGCGAGAUCUGAGGAAGAAAGGUGGCGCAAGCUACCGCUCUUGGAGGGACUCGCGGCCUAUCAGCUAGNGGUGAGGUAACGGCUCACCAAGGCUAUGACGGGUAGCUGGUCUGAGAGGACGACCAGCCACACGGGGACUGAGACAC
rnacentral:rRNA from 1 species